CUGACUUUGCCAUCAGCUAUAACUAAAUUUACACAUGCGAGUAUCCGCAUCCCCGUGAGAAUGCCCCACAAUAUCCUGGAUGGAAGUGAGGAGCCGGUAUCAGGCACAAUCCUUUAGCCCACGACGCCUUGCUAAGCCACACCCCCAAGGGAAUUCAGCAGUGAUAGGUAUUAAGCCAUGAGUGAAAACUUGACUUAGUUAAUGUUUAAAGAGUCGGUAAAUUUCGUGCCAGCCACCGCGGUUAUACGAGAGACUCGAGUUGAUGACCUUCGGCGUAAAGAGUGGUUAAGGGAAAAUUAUACUAAAGCUAAAUGACUUCAAAGCUGUUAUACGCACACGAAAGUACGAAGCCCGACUACGAAAGUGGCUUUAACCCUCUGACCCCACGAAAGCUAGGGUACAAACUGGGAUUAGAUACCCCACUAUGCCUAGCCCUAAACAUCGAUAAUAAUUUACUUCCUUUAUCCGCCGGGGAACUACGAGCAUCAGCUUAAAACCCAAAGGACUUGGCGGUGCUUUAGAUCCACCUAGAGGAGCCU
rnacentral:rRNA from 1 species